rnacentral:rRNA from 1 species
GACGAACGCUGGCGGCGUGCCUAACACAUGCAAGUCGAACGGGGUUGUUCCUUCGGGGACAACUUAGUGGCGAACGGGUGAGUAACGCGUGAGGAACCUGCCUUUCAGUGGGGGACAACAGUUGGAAACGACUGCUAAUACCGCAUAAUGUUGUCGGAUGGCAUCAUCUGACAACCAAAGCUUUAUGUGCUGAAAGAUGGCCUCGCGUCUGAAUUAGAUAGUUGGUGAGGUAACGGCUCACCAAGUCGACGAUCAGUAGCCGGACUGAGAGGUUGAACGGCCACAUUGGGACUGAGAUACGGCCCAGACUCCUACGGGAGGCAGCAGUGGGGAGUAUUGGGCAAUGGGGGGAAACCCUGACCCAGCAACGCCGCGUGAAGGAAGAAGGCCU